CCGCCCCGCCCCGCAGAGGGUCACAGUGGUGACCUGGGCCUCCCGGCUGGGGGACAGUACUCGGACAAGCCUGGGACAGUCUGGCUGCCUGCAGUUCUGCACUUUGGAGAUGGGCCUUGGGCAGGCAGGGGCUCCCCAGGGGCAGGGAGCCUGUGAUUUCAGCCCCAGAGGGGACCGUGCCUCACAGGUGCCGCCCUGGGUGUGUGCCUUGCCUGCCCGGGGGCCUUGACCGGACAAGCCAGGUGGCACCGAGGAUCUUCCCACAGCAGAGGACAAGGCUGACGAGGAGCUGUGGCUGGGUGCCCUGCCCAGCAUCACGAGAGCAUCGUGCCACAGAUCGCUAGCCUGGGAAAAGCUCAAAAUUCAAAAUUGGAAGUAUGGUUUCUACCGAAUGCGUAUCGCCUUCACACCAUCGUAAAGUUGAAAAAUCUUAGGAGGGGAGAACAGCACCGAAUCUUCUGAUUCAUCUGCCCACAGGGCUCAGCAGACUGGCCGACUGGAGAAGUCCCUCGCUGCAUUUUGUCAGACUAUGGGUGUGUACGUAUGUACGUACGUAAGUAUAAAUGAAAGAAUGAAAAAAGAAAGAAAGGAAAGAAAGAAGGAAGAAAGAAAGAGAGAAAAGGAAGGAAGAAAGGCAGAAAGAAAGAAAGAAGGAAAGAAAGGAAGGAAGAAAGAAAGAAGAGAAAGGAAGGAAGAAAGGAAGAAAAGAGAGAAUCAAAUAGAAUCAAAGGUAAGGUGUUUGCUUUCAAUACCUACCACCAAAAUACCAACCCCUCUGCCCCUGCCAACAAAAACACUCAUCUCUUCACCUCUUUUUCCCAUUGGUCACUUGUGGGGAGCAGGGGGUAGGGCUGUGCCCUACCUCCUGAGUGUUUAAUAAGCCAUCAGGCAUCAAUACUCACUGGGGAUUGUCAUAGUCUCGGGGCAGCCGGUGGGAGCUGAGUCUGAUGAGGCUGUGGGAGGAGAAGAGGAGGAAACUGGGGAGACUUGAUGGGGAGGCCAUGAGCUGUCAAGGGGCCCUGGACACUGGCCUUCCAAGUGACAGAAGGGAAAGCAGGAGGACACGGGAGGACUCAGAGGAGGAGAUGGGUCAUUCAAGUCCAGUGCGGCCAAGCUUCCAACUCUGGACCUGCUUCCCUGCCUCUUUCCACACUUGUUCUCACGCAGCAGGCUUGGGCUGGGGCCCGUGGGGCCCGUGGGGCAAGAGGGCAGAGUUUUGGGCAGGGCCCUGAUCCUGCUGGGACCAGCCGAGCUGUCAGCAGGGCAAGUCCCAUAUCCCCAUGUUGGGAGGAUAAGGUGGCUCGUCUUCCCAAGGCAAGGCUGAGCAUGUCUUACUCUGUGCUGUGGUUGCCUGACCUCCUGCUGGAAUUUCUGACCCUGGUUUGGAGCUGCCCUGUCUGCAGCGCAUCGUGACAGGAUCCCUCACCCUGUACACUGGCUUGAAAUGUGGUGAAAUAAAUGUCAUAAUUUUAAGACUCUAAGUGUCAACAGUCCCCAAAAGACGAGGGUUCGAUUUAUGAUUUUUGGACUUUAUGAUGGUACCUAGUGAUACAUAUUUAGUAGAAACCAUACUUCAAAUUUUGAUCUUUUCCCUGCCUAACAAUACCCUGCAUCUUUUCUUGCGAUACUGGGCUAUGACAGCCACACCAUCUCGGGGGUAAACAGCCAACACACAUACAAGCAUUCUGCACCCAGAUGACCAGGAUGUUUCUCACUUUCAGUACGAUAGUCAAUCCAUGACAUGAGAUAUCCAACACUUUAUUCUACAAUAGGCUUUGUGUUAGAUGCUUUUGUCCAGGCUAAUGGAAGUUUAAGGUAGGCUAGGCUAACUCAUGAUGUUUGGUAGGCUAGGUGGAUUAAAUACAUUUUCAAUUUAUGGUAUUUUCAACUGACAAUGGGUUGACUGGGAUGUAACCCCAUCGUAAGUC